GUGCUUGCGUCGGCAGCACUUAUACUAAAAUGGAACACACAGAGAAGAUUAGCACAGCCCCCGCACAAGUAUGACACGCAAGUUUGUGAAGCGUACCACAUUUAU